GUUUGAUGGUGUGGUGAUGAUGUGAUGGUGAUGUUGAUGGUUUGAUGGUGUGGUGAUGGUGUGGUGAUGGUGUGGUGAUGAAGUGAUGAUGGUGUAGUGAUGGUGAUGGUGUGAUGAUGGUGAUGAAGUGAUGAUGGUGUGGUGAUGGUGAUGGUAUGAUGAUGAUGUGGUGAUGGUGUGGCGAUGGUGUGAUGAUGUGAUGGUGAUGGUUUGAUGGUGUGGUGAUGGUUUGGUGAUGAUGUGAUGUUGAUGGUUUGAUGAUGAUGUGAGGUGAUGAAGUGAUGAUGGUGAGGUGAUGGUGAGAUGAUGGUGAUGGUGAGGUGAUGAUGUGAGGUG
ensembl:lncRNA